rnacentral:pre_miRNA from 1 species
GAAUGGAUGGUAUUCAGCACCAGGGACAGAUGUGUUAACCUGUAUGUGGAUGGUGUUCAGCACCAGGGACAGAUGUGUUUACCU